rfam:Agaricus bisporus var. burnettii JB137-S8 unplaced genomic scaffold AGABI1scaffold_8, whole genome shotgun sequence.
AGCAGCAUGGCGCAGUGGUAGCGCGCGGGGCCCAUAACCCCGAGGUCACUCGAUCGAAACGAGUUGCUGCUA